CACGUAGGGUGCGAGCGUUGUCCGGAAUUAUUGGGCGUAAAGAGCUCGUAGGCGGUGUGUCGCGUCGGCCGUGAAAACCUGCAGCUUAACUGUGGGCUUGCGGUCGAUACGGGCAUCACUGGAGUUCGGCAGGGGAGACUGGAAUUCCUGGUGUAGCGGUGAAAUGCGCAGAUAUCAGGAGGAACACCGGUGGCGAAGGCGGGUCUCUGGGCCGAUACUGACGCUGAGGCGCGAAAGCCAGGGGAGCAAACAGG
rnacentral:rRNA from 1 species